rnacentral:rRNA from 1 species
AGUGAACGCUGGCGGCAGGCCUAACACAUGCAAGUCGAACGGCAGCACAGUAAGAGCUUGCUCUUACGGGUGGCGAGUAGCGGACGGGUGAGGAAUACAUCGGAAUCUACUUUUUCGUGGGGGAUAACGUAGGGAAACUUACGCUAAUACCGCAUACGACCUACGGGUGAAAGCAGGGGAUCUUCGGACCUUGCGCGAUUGAAUGAGCCGAUGUCGGAUUAGCUAGUUGGCGGGGUAAAGGCCCACCAAGGCGACGAUCCGUAGCUGGUCUGAGAGGAUGAUCAGCCACACUGGAACUGAGACACGGUCCAGACUCCUACGGGAGGCAGCAGUGGGGAAUAUUGGACAAUGGGCGCAAGCCUGAUCCAGCCAUACCGCGUGGGUGAAGAAGGCCUUCGGGUUGUAAAGCCCUUUUGUUGGGAAAGAAAAGCAGCAGGUUAAUACCCCGCUGUUCUGACGGUACCCAAAGAAUAAGCACCGGCUAACUUCGUG